AGGGACCUGGGGACUUGUGCAGUAUCGCCCAGAUGCCUGGAGAUUUGGACAAGCUGGCGUCGCAUGGAGAAUCAGUUGUUUGGAGACAGCUGGAGUGUCUGAAGCUCUGCAUCAUCUCAUCUCUCCUCCGCAAACUUUUCUCUCCCUGGAGAGUUUUCAUUUCCAUGAUUUUUUAGCCAGACAGAAGAGGGUUUUUCUUCUGGGAAUUGCCUGCCUGAUACUGCCAUUCUCUUUUUGCCACAUCUGCAGUGUCACCAUCUCCCUGACUGCAACAGGAGAGUGUUCAAGCUGGCUGCCAUGGUCAGGAUUGACAGAAUCUUGUCUGGAAAUUGCUGGACAAGAAAGGAGUGCUGAGAAGUGCAGGAAACAUGAGGAAAUGCAGAAUCCCCAUAAAAGGAAGGGCAGGAGAGAAGCCAUGAAUCACCACAGGGCAGUGAGCUGGAGGACUGCAAGACAUCCUUUCUGCAGAGAUUGAACUAGGAGGAGCUGCAGCCAUCCUGAAGCAGUGUGAGGUGCCUUUGGCCUCCUGUGUCCUGGGAGAGGUCAGGAGGAGGUUCGAGUGGCUGAGUGCUUCCCUCCAUCAAGCUACACUGCGUUUCUCAACCUGCUCCUUGCCAGGCUGAAGAACGUGGGCACAUCCUGACUAAAAUCUGAGAGCAUGACAGUGUGCCAGACAACUAGACAACUGCAAUUUUUUGCAUCAAGUAGUUUUAUUUAUUGCUGUUUUGAAAACCUGAGAACACCCAUGGAUCUGCUGCUGCUUUCUCCAACAGCACCAGCCACAAAAGGAGCCAGCUGCCAAGAAAAAUAAAAACACUAAUCCCUCAAAGCCUCUAGCAGUCCUGGCUUUCAAUCCUUGCCCGUCACAGCACAGGAGAC